GGAAUGCUUUACACAUGCAAGUCGAACGGCAGCAUGGAGAGCUUGCUCUCUGAUGGCGAGUGGCGAACGGGUGAGUAAUAUAUCGGAACGUGCCUAGUAAUGGGGAAUAACUAGCUGAAAGGUUAGCUAAUGCCGCAUACGACCUACGGGUGAAAGCAGGGGAUCUUCGGACCUUGCGUUAUUAGAGCGGCCGAUAUCUGAUUAGCUUGUUGGUGGGGUAAUGGCCUACCAAGGCGACGAUCAGUAGCUGGUCUGAGAGGACGAUCAGCCACACUGGAACUGAGACACGGUCCAGACUCCUACGGGAGGCAGCAGUGGGGAAUUUUGGACAAUGGGGGAAACCCUGAUCCAGCCAUUCCGCGUGAGUGAAGAAGGCCUUCGGGUUGUAAAGCUCUUUCGCAAGAGAAGAAAACUUGCUAUCUAAUAAAUAGUAAGCAUGACGGUAUCUUGACAAGAAGCACCGG
rnacentral:rRNA from 1 species